rnacentral:misc_RNA from 1 species
AAAAGCAACUCUUUGGUUCUUAAAGUAUCUUAUAUAAAGCCAAGUCAUCGUUGCAAAGAAAAGAGUGACUCAUAUGCAAGUUCUUUAAACAAUGAAUGCUAACUUGCAUUGCAUUUCAGUCCUAGUUAUGGUGACAUUUUUGUCGAUAUCUUUCGUUGGAUGCCUCAAGAAUGAUAAGAAAUAUCACAGAAACAAGGUAGAAGAGUGUGAUAUCUUCGCAGGAGAAUGGGUUUUGGAUAACAAGACUCAUCCUUUAUACAAAGAAGAUGCAUGUGAGUUUCUGUCACAGUGGUCUGCCUGCCUGAAGAAUGGAAGGCCUGACUCUAUGUAUCUGAAUUGGAGAUGGCAACCCAGAGAGUGUUCUUUGCCCAAGUUUAAGGCAAAACAUUUGCUGAAGAAACUCAAGGGAAAGAAGCUUAUGUUUGUUGGAGACUCUAUACAUAAUAACCAGUGGCAAUCUUUGGUUUGCUUGGUAGAAUCAGCUGUCUCACCAAGCCAGAAGAGCGUGGACGACUCAGGCUACCCACAAGUCUUCAGAAUUAAGAAAUAUAAUGUUACAAUAGAAUUUUACUGGGCACCAUAUCUAGUUGAAUCAAGUGUAGACCCUCCAAAGUUUAGGGAUGGCAAAACAACUGCUGUAAUAAUGGCUGAAUCAAUUGCAAAGCAUGGAAAUAACUGGAAAGAUGCAGAUUAUCUAAUCUUCGACUCAUAUGCUUGGUGGAUCAAGCAUCCCACAGUCAGAGUAUUGCAAGGAUCGUUUGAAGAAGGAGACACAAAGUAUGUUGAGAUCGAAAGGCAUAUAAUAUUUGAGAAAGUUUUAAGGACAUGGGCCAAUUGGGUGGAGGAAAACAUUGAUCAUAAACGCACUUCUAUUUUCUUUAGCAGUGCAUCACCGCAACAUUACAGGAGCUUGGACUGGAACAACCCAAAUGGAGUUAACUGUGCAAGCGAGACUACACCAAUUCUGAGCACAUCAAUGCCAAUAAAUGUGGGCACAGACAGGCAAAUAUUCUCAAUUGCAGCAGAUGUGAUUAGAUCAAUGAAAGUAAAAGUCCAUUUCCUCAAUAUAACAAGCCUCUCAGAGUACAGGAAAGAAGCACAUCCUUCUGUUUACAUUAUUCAAGAUGGUAAACUUCUUACACCGAAGCAGAAAUCUAAUCCAGCCAAGUAUGCAGAUUGUGUUCAUUGGUGUGUCCCAGGGCUUCCUGAUACGUGGAAUGAAUUGCUCUAUGCGUACAUUGUAACACAUUCUUGACUUCACUCGUAAAUUCAAUCAUAUGUGUAGCUUCACAACAGAAGCUUUCUGUUGAGAAGCUUUCGGUCAAGAAAUGAUUAUACAGGUGAACUGAGA